UACGAAGGGGGCUAGCGUUGCUCGGAAUCACUGGGCGUAAAGCGCACGUAGGCGGCUUUUUAAGUCAGAGGUGAAAUCCUGGAGCUCAACUCCAGAACUGCCUUUGAUACUGGAGAGCUUGAGUCCGGGAGAGGUGAGUGGAACUGGCGAGUGUAGAGGUGAAAUUCGUAGAUAUUCGCAAGAACACCAGUGGCGAAGGCGGACUCACUGGCCCGGUACUGACGCUGAGGUGCGAAAGCGUGGGGAG
rnacentral:rRNA from 1 species